UCGGGGAAGAAAAUGACUGUACCCGAAUAAGAAGGUCCGGCUAACUUCGUGCCAGCAGCCGCGGUAAUACGAAGGGACCUAGCGUAGUUCGGAAUUACUGGGCUUAAAGAGUUCGUAGGUGGUUGAAAAAGUUAGUGGUGAAAUCCCAGAGCUUAACUCUGGAACUGCCAUUAAAACUUUUCAGCUAGAGUAUGAUAGAGGAAAGCAGAAUUUCUAGUGUAGAGGUGAAAUUCGUAGAUAUUAGAAAGAAUACCAAUUGCGAAGGCAGCUUUCUGGAUCAUUACUGACACUGAGGAACGAAAGCAUGGGUAGCGAAGAGGAUUAGAUACCCUCGUAGUCCAUGCCGUAAACGAUGUGUGUUAGACGUUGGAAAUUUAUUUUCAGUGUCGCAGCGAAAGCGAUAAACACACCGCCUGGGGAGUACGACCGCAAGGUUAAAACUCAAAUGAAUUGACGGGGACCCGCACAAGUAGUGGAGCAUGUGGUUUAAUUCGAAGAUACGCGCAGAACCUUACCAACACUUGACAUGUUCGUCGCGACUCUAAGAGAUUAGAGUUUUCGGUUCGGCCGGACGAAACACAGGUGCUGCAUGGCUGUCGUCAGCUCGUGUCGUGAGAUGCUGGGUUAAGUCCCGCAACGAGCGCAACCCUCACUUUUAGUUGCCAUCAUUAAGUUGGGCACUCUGAAAGAACUGCCAGUGAUAAGCUGGAGGAAGGUGGGGAUGACGUCAAGUCCUCAUGGCCCUUACGUGUUGGGCUACACACGUGCUACAAUGGUAUCUACAACAGGAAGCAAGACUGCGAGGUCAAGCAAAUCCCUAAAAGAUACCUCAGUUCGGAUUGCACUCUGCAACUCGAGUGCAUGAAGCUGGAAUUACUAGUAAUCGUGGAUCAGCGUGCCACGGUGAAUGCGUUCCCGGGUCUUGUACACACCGCCCGUCACACCAUGGGAGUUGGUUCUACCUUAAGGCAAGGUUUAAUACCCUUGACCACGGUAUAGUCAGCGACUGGGGUG
rnacentral:rRNA from 1 species